rnacentral:rRNA from 1 species
GUCUAUGGCCAUACCACCCUGAAUGUGUCUGAUCUCUUCUGAUCUCAGAAGCUAAGCAGGGUCGGGCUUGAUUAGUACUUGGAUGGAAAAAAAUAGAUAAAAUCGAGCUGAUAAGAUG